GCGUGGAGACAGGUGGUGCAUGGCUGUCGUCAGCUCGUGUCGUGAGAUGUUGGGUUAAGUCCCGCAACGAGCGCAACCCUCACCCCUGGUUGCCACCGGGUAAUGCCGAGCACUCGAGGGGAACUGCCAGCGUCAAGCUGGAGGAAGGCGGGGAUGACGUCAAGUCAUCAUGCCCCUUACGCCCCGGGCUACACACGUGCUACAAUGGCCGGUACAAAGGGACGCAAGACCGCGAGGUGGAGCUAAUCCCAAAAAGCCGGUCUAAGUUCAGAUUGCAGUCUGCAACUCGACUGCAUGAAGGAGGAAUCGCUAGUAAUCGCGCAUCAGCCCGGCGCGGUGAAUACGUUCCCGGGCCUUGUACACACCGCCCGUCACACCACGAAAGCUGUCUGUACUCGAAGUCGCUGAG
rnacentral:rRNA from 1 species